rnacentral:rRNA from 1 species
UACGUAGGGUGCGAGCGUUAAUCGGAAUUACUGGGCGUAAAGCGUGCGCAGGCGGUUCGUUAAGUCAGAUGUGAAAGCCCCGGGCUCAACCUGGGAACUGCAUUUGAAACUGGUGGGCUUGAGUAUGGCAGAGGGGGGUGGAAUUCCGCGUGUAGCAGUGAAAUGCGUAGAGAUGUGGAGGAAUACCGAUGGCGAAGGCAGCCCCCUGGGAUAACACUGACGCUCAUGCACGAAAGCGUGGGGAGCAAACAGG